rnacentral:rRNA from 1 species
AACGAACGCUGGCGGCGUGGAUAAGACAUGCAAGUCGAACGGGACACCAUGAGUAGCAAUACAAGUGGUGUCUAGUGGCGAACGGGUGCGUAACACGUGGAUACAUUCCGGGAAGCGGGGGAUAGCCCAGGGAAACUUGGAUUAAUACCGCAUGUGAUCGAAAGAUCAAAGACGGGGACCGCAAGGCCUGUCACUUCCCGAUUGGUCCGCGGCCUAUCAGCUAGUUGGCGGGGUAAAAGCCCACCAAGGCUACGACGGGUAGCUGGUCUUAGAGGACGACCAGCCACACUGGAACUGAGACACGGUCCAGACACCUACGGGUGGCAGCAGUCGAGAAUCUUUCACAAUGGGGGCAACCCUGAUGGAGCGACGCCGCGUGGAGGAUAAGGUCUUCGGAUUGUAAACUCCUGUCAUGCGAGAACAAGGUUGCAGGGUUAAUACCUU